GUUACAAUCGUGAAUAUACAUAUGAUUUUUCAGCAUCCGAUGGAGUCAUUCAAAGGAAA
rnacentral:ribozyme from 1 species